UACAGAGGGUGCAAGCGUUGUUCGGAAUUAUUGGGCGUAAAGCGCGUGUAGGCGGCAGUGCAAGUCGGGUGUGAAAGCCCUCAGCUCAACUGAGGAAGUGCGCCCGAAACUGCAUUGCUUGAGUACCGGAGAGGAUGGCGGAAUUCCCGAAGUAGAGGUGAAAUUCGUAGAUAUCGGGAGGAACACCAGUGGCGAAGGCGGCUCACUGGCCCGUAACUGACGCUGAGGCACGAAAGCGUGGGGAGCAAACAGG
rnacentral:rRNA from 1 species